AAUUGUGAUCAGUUCUGGUACUGAUAUAUGUCAUCUGUCUUAAAGUGAUUUGCUGCUCAAGCAUUGGAAGAGAACUAAUCCUGGAAGCUACAUUGUUCGAUGCAAACUUACUAGUUGUUGGAAGAUAGGGGAAUAAAUAUCAGUAUAUCACAGAGGAAAGACUCGAUGAUACCUUUGGCUGACAUCUGUUGACAGAGGAAAGACUCGAUGAUACCUUUGCUAAUUUCUGUGAAUGAAGUUAGAAGAUCAUCAUCCUUGACGCAGCUCACAAUUCAAACUAUAUCAACUUGCAGUCUUGCAUGCCUUUUGGAUAUGCUUAGGCAGUUUGAUGGAAUUUGGGAACUACUCCCUCCGAUCCAUAAAAAGUGCUGUCCAGUUAGUACAAAAUUUGUACUAACUUAGUACAAAAUGGGUGACACUUUUUAUGGAUCGGAGGGAGUAAUUAUUUUCAUAUGGGUGGCUUGUUGUCAUUAAUUUUCUCCUAGCAGGUGCCUAGGAGUAGCCAGUCCAAAAUUUCCCAUUUAAUACAGUAAGAACAUGUGCAUCAAGCACACACAUAUAUGAUUCUUGACUCGGCAGUUGA